GCAUAAUCAUUAGUCUUUUAAUUGGAGGCUGGUAUGAAUGGUUGGAUGAGAUACAUGCUGUGUCAUAUAAAAUUAAUAUUUGAAUUUAACUUUUUAGUCAAAAGGCUAAAAUAUUAUUAAAAGACGAGAAGACCCUAUAGAGCUUUAUAUAAUAAAUAUUUACUUUAUUAAGAUUUUUUUUAUUUAAUUAUUUUUUUAUAUUUUGUUGGGGUGACAAUAAAAUUAAUAAAACUUUUAUUUUUUACUUACAUUAAUUUAUGGUUAAAUGAUCCAGUUUUAUUGAUUAUAAAAUUAAGUUACCUUAGGGAUAACAGCGUAAUUUUUUUUGAGAGUUCUUAUCGA
rnacentral:rRNA from 1 species